UGGGAGAGCCAGCGGCUGUGGUGCCAGCUCCCAGUUCAGACGAGGCCAUCCUCGUGAGCAGAUGACGAAAAGAAGUAGUUCUAGACGCUUCUAAAGAAGGUUCUGUGAGGGAUGCACAGAACGCCAGUGUGUCGGCAACCCCUCCAUCUUCCCUGAUGGGCGGAGUUAGAGAAAGGAAGAAUGAGGCGCCAGGAGACUGAGACGGCAAAGGCUGUGGCUGACCGUGACUUUGCGAGGGUGCCAUGACAGGUUGUUGCUAAGGAACUGAAGACAGUGUCCACAAUUCGGCAUCAUGAUGAGGAGGAAGAAAUACUUAUCAACAGAUUGAGUAGGGGGUACAUAAGACCUCAGCUUCUCAGCUUAGCUCCCCUGCUAUUCAUAUUGCUGAUCUUGUGAUUGUGAGACCAGGGAAAAUGGGAAAAUCUACCAGCAGAUGAUCCCACAAAUGAAUGGUACACAUACAAUGAUAGAUAAGUAUAUGCCGUGAAUGAAGAGGAAAUGGAUACGUACAGAAGAGAGAGCGGUGAGCCUUUGAAAACUGGAGAUAAGAGUUUAAUUACUUAUAUAGAAAGAUACAGGAGGAUGUGAGCUGAAUUUGAUGGAAAGGAAAUAAACUUCUUGUCAAAUC